rnacentral:tRNA from 1 species
GAAGGUAUAUCAGUGGUAGAGCUUAUGCUUAGCAUGCGCAAGGCCCUGGGUUCAACCCCCAGUACCUCCA